GACGAACGCUGGCGGCGUGCCUAAUACAUGCAAGUAGAACGCACAGUUUAUACCGUAGCUUGCUACACCAUAGACUGUGAGUUGCGAACGGGUGAGUAACGCGUAGGUAACCUGCCUGGUAGCGGGGGAUAACUAUUGGAAACGAUAGCUAAUACCGCAUAAUAUUGAUUAUUGCAUGAUAAUUGAUUGAAAGAUGCUAUUGCAUCACUACCAGAUGGACAUGCGUUGUAUUAGCUAGUAGGUGAGGUAACGGCUCACCUAGGCGACGAUACAUAGCCGACCUGAGAGGGUGAUCGGCCACACUGGGACUGAGACACGGCCCAGACUCCUACGGGAGGCAGCAGUAGGGAAUCUUCGGCAAUGGACGAAAGUCUGACCGAGCAACGCCGCGUGAGUGAAGAAGGUUUUCGGAUCGUAAAGCUCUGUUGUAAGAGAAGAACGGGUGUGAGAGUGGAAAGUUCACACUGUGACGGUAUCUUACCAGAAAGGGACGGCUAACUACGUG
rnacentral:rRNA from 1 species